rnacentral:misc_RNA from 1 species
GCAAACUUGGUCAUUUAGAGGAAGUAAAAGUCGUAACAAGGUUUCCGUAGGUGAACCUGCGGAAGGAUCAUUACUUGAGAAGCCGCGCGGGCGAUUCUGCGGGCCCCCUAAGCAAAAAUUUGGGGGGAUUGGUCCCGUCCGCGCGCCCCGUCAAUCAUCGGGCUACCGGUGUAUGUCGCACUUUGUAUCUUGAAACCCUCUGUAAUGAGAAGUAUCAGUCUGUAAGAAUAAAUUCUUCACAACUUUCAACAAUGGAUCUCUUGGCUCUGGCAUCGAUGAAGAACGCAGC